rnacentral:rRNA from 1 species
AUGGCGUCGACCGCCUCCUUCCUUCCGCUGCUCGCGCUCCUGCUCGUGGCGACGGCGCAUUGCUCGCCGCUGCCCCAGCGGUGCCCGCAGGCCGACCGGCAGGCGCUGUUCCGGGUGAAGCAGGCGCUGGGCAGCCCGUUGACGCUGAAGACGUGGUCGCCGGCGUCGGCGGACUGCUGCGCGUGGGACCACCUCACGUGCAACGAGGCCGGGCGCGUGAACAACGUCUUCAUCGACGGCGCCGACGACGUGCGCGGCCAGAUCCCGUCCGCGCUGGCGGGGCUGACGGCGCUCAUGUCGCUCUCGCUCUUCCGCCUCCCGGGCCUCCAGGGCUCCAUCCCGGCCUGCCUCACCUCCCUCUCCAAGCUCGAGUUCCUCACCGUCUCCCACACCAACGUGUCCGGCUCCAUCCCGGAGUCCCUGGCGCGCCUCCACAGCCUCGACUCCGUGGACCUCUCCAACAACAAGCUCACGGGGUCCAUCCCCAACUCCUUCGCCGACAUGCCCAACCUCCGGUCGCUGGACCUCCGCCGGAACCAGCUCACCGGGCGCAUCCCGGCCAGCCUCGUGCAGGGGCAGUUCCGGUCGCUGGUGCUGUCCUACAACCAGCUGACGGGCCCGAUCCCGCGCGACGACGCGCAGGACGAGAUCAACACGGUGGAUCUGUCGCACAACCAGCUGAGCGGCGACGCUUCCUUCCUCUUCUCCGAGGGGCGGCCCAUCGGCAAGGUGGACCUGUCCUACAACAACCUCGAGUUCGACCUGAGCAAGCUCAAGUUCCCCAAGGAGCUGACGUACCUGGACCUGAGCCACAACCGCAUCAGUGGCACCGUGCCCAGGUCGCUGGAGGCGCUGUCCACGCUGCAGACGCUGGACCUCAGCUACAACAACCUCUGCGGGCCGCUCCCCAAGCUGCACGGCGUCAUGCGGCACGGCUGCAAGCCCUACGAGCACAACCUGUGCCACCGCGGGGCGCCGCUCGAGAGCAGCUGCCACCAGCUCUGA